UUGACCAAGAAGUGCUGAGCAGUAAAUGUAAUCCACAAUCCAUAAAAUUAAGCCUAGUGGAGAAAUGCAGUUUAAGGACAUUUAAAACAGUUAAGCAAGAGGAAAAGCAAAACUGAUGUUCAGUUACAUUUUCUGGGUGGCAUGUAGGGCUCAUGGUGUGGAAGUGACCCUUUGAAAAGGUUAAUGUCAAAGCAACUGCCUCCACCGUUAGUGAGGCGCUGAGCCUUUCCCUUAGGACGUGAUUAGGUCUUUGAGAAGCUUGUAGAGGUGUUUCUGGAAGCUGUCUGCUGUGGAUUCCUUCUCAACUGCUGAACAUGCCAUGCUAUUAAUCUCACUUCUGUGCCCUCAGUUCCUCUUCGUAAAAAGAUUGUUGUUUCUUGUUUUCUGCUCUCAUUAUUUCCACCUCUCUCCGCCCCCUUCCCAAGGUUCUACUGUGAGAACAAAGUUGGAGACAUAAGGAGGAGUGUGAGAGUACCACAGACAGGUAGAAGCAGAGACUCUGCAGCAUGCCAUUCCAUGUGCCCUGAAGCUCUGAGGAAUUGCAAAAGGUCUAACUUGGCUGAAGGCAAAGCUCCAAGGUUAGUAAGGAGAGCCGAUUGCCGGACUCUGCAUCACCAACUGAGUACCUGGGUGUGCUUCAUGCUCUCGUGUGUAUGUGACAUCAUGGAUGCAAUGUUCUCCUCAGAACAUGGAGUUCAACCUGCUGUCCUCUCUCUGUACCAACACUGAAGCUUUUAAAGCAUCCCUGGAAGAGUUAUCGUGGAAGGAAUUGCUAAAGGACCAAAGACAACUGCCAACAAUUUUCCUGCAUCAACGUCACAGAGGCAGAUUGCUUGAGACUGCAUUUAUUCAUUUCCCAUUUCUUUUUUUUACCGUACUUCACCUUGGAUUAAUUACUUGACAGUGUCAGUCCAUUUCUCUGUGGGAUCCCCCAAAUAGGAAUUCAGUCACUGCCUCUGGCCAAGUGGGGAGCCUUCAUCUGCUUGAGAUGACAAAGAUCUGUGGUCUCUUCACCCAGCUACCUGUUCAUCAGUGAGUCCCAUUGGCAGAAUCACCUAUGUCACUGGAGCACUUGCAGAUAGCCUGUUUGAUGACUUAAAUUUUUCUUUGUUGGCCGGGCGCGGUGGCUCAAGCCUGUAAUCCCAGCACUUUGGGAGGCCGGGGUGGGUGGAUCACGAGGUCAAGAGAUCGAGACCAUCCUGGUCAACAUGGUGAAACCUCAUCUCUACUAAAAAUACAAAAAAUUAGCUGGGCAUGGUGGCACAUGCCUGUAAUCCCAGCCACUCAGGAGGCUGAGGCAGGAGAAUUGCCUGAACCCAGGAGGCGGAGGUUGUGGUGAGCCGAGAUUGCGCCAUUGCACUCCAGCCUGGGUAACGAGCGAAACUCCAUCUAAGAAAAAAAAAAUUUUUUUUCUUUGUCACUUAGUGAGCCUGCAUUGUCCAACUUUUUAACUCUGAAUGUGAAGAAAAACUGGUUGUGUGAACAUAAAUGCCUCUUCACAACUGAACACUUUCCACCCUUGUAUUAGGACAGUGUGUGUUUUACUGUUUGCCUGUUAUUGCCACACCACAGUUGAUCUGGGAAGCAGUGCAGGAGGUUCCCUCCCUGAGUUCUCCAACCACAGUCAAUAAUUCCAGUGGCUUCAAGAAACAUGCAUGACAGUACUGGGGAUCAUUUGUUGGUUUCACAGUGUAGAGGCUGGUUUGUGAUUCUCUCUAAUGGCAGACCAGAUCUCAAUGGCAGACCAAAUGAGGCCGUGGAAAGUGGCACAAAGGAUCCCAGCAACAGGAAUAAACAGAUGUGUUUCUAGCA
rnacentral:lncRNA from 13 species